AUUGAACGCUGGCGGCAUGCCUUACACAUGCAAGUCGAACGGCAGCACGGGUGCUUGCACCUGGUGGCGAGUGGCGAACGGGUGAGUAAUACAUCGGAACAUGUCCUGUAGUGGGGGAUAGCCCGGCGAAAGCCGGAUUAAUACCGCAUACGAUCUACGGAUGACAGCGGGGGACCUUCGGGCCUCGCGCUUUAGGGUUGGCCGAUGGCUGAUUAGCUAGUUGGUGGGGUAAAGGCCUACCAAGGCGACGAUCAGUAGCUGGUCUGAGAGGACGACCAGCCACACUGGGACUGAGACACGGCCCAGAUUCCUAGGGGAGGCAGCAGUGGGGAAUUUUGGACAAGGGGCGAAAGCCUGAUCCAGCAAUGCGGCGUGUGUGAAGAAGGCCUUCGGGUGGUAAAGCACUUUUGUCCGGAAAGAAAUCCUUGGCCCUAAUACGGUCGGGGGAUGACGGUACCGGAAGAAUAAGCACCGGCUAACUACGU
rnacentral:rRNA from 1 species